rnacentral:rRNA from 1 species
AGGACGAACGCUGGCGGCGUGCUUAACACAUGCAAGUCGAGCGGAAAGGCCCUUCGGGGUACUCGAGCGGCGAACGGGUGAGUAACACGUGACUAACCUACCCUCGAGUGGGAAUAACUUCGGGAAACCGAGGCUAAUACCGCAUAAAACCUAAGGGUCAAAGGAGCAAUCCGUUUGAGGAGGGGGUCGCGGCAGAUUAGUUAGUUGGCGGGGUAAUGGCCCACCAAGACGAUGAUCUGUAUCC